rnacentral:rRNA from 1 species
ACGAACGCUGGCGGCAGGCCUAACACAUGCAAGUCUAACGGGCACCUUCGGGUGUCAGUGGCAGACGGGUGAGUAACGCGUGGGAAUUUGCCUAGUGGUACGGAAUAACCAAGGGAAACUUUGGCUAAUACCGCAUAAGCCCUUCGGGGGAAAGAUUUAUCGCCAUUAGAGAAGCCCGCGUCGGAUUAGCUAGUUGGUGGGGUAACGGCCUACCAAGGCAACGAUCCGUAGCUGGUCUGAGAGGAUGAUCAGCCACAUUGGGACUGAGACACGGCCCAAACUCCUACGGGAGGCAGCAGUGGGGAAUAUUGGACAAUGGGCGAAAGCCUGAUCCAGCCAUGCCGCGUGAGUGAUGAAGGCCUUAGGGUUGUAAAGCUCUUUCGCCGACGAAGAUAAUGACGGUAGUCGGAGAAGAAGCCCCGGCUAACUUCGUGCCAGCCGCCGCGGUAAU